rnacentral:lncRNA from 1 species
CUCCGUGAAUUUCGGACAUUUGCGGCGCGGACCCGGAAUAUCGAUCCGUCGCGUGAGCGUCCCGUGACGUCAGGUGCCGCCAGCGCGAAAAAGGUGUCCAAACCUGAGAUGGAGAAGAAGAGGAGACGGGACCGGAGCAGCUCGAAUCCCCGCAGUGCUGCAGGAGCACAGCGCUCGAAAUGAUCCACGCCGCACCCCGGACCCGCCCAGUACAGAGCCCAGUUCAGAACCUGUCUCGUGACUGUAAACCGGUUCGUCUGGUCGCCGGACGGCGCGAGAAAGGGGUUUCGCUCGCGCGCGCUCGCGUGCCAGUCCGCCUGCCCCUGCUCCUCCGGCACCGCGGGUAGCUAGCGCGCUUUGCGCGUGGCGUGC